GCUUCAGUUCGCAAAGCUUUUCCCCACACGUGUGGUGAACAAAAUAAUGUAAAUAGAAACAGCUGAUUUCUAUUCAAAUUAUAUUUAUUCGUUAAAAUUAAACCAAAACACGAUCGAGCUACUCACGAACAGUUGGAGGCUUAUAUUUCAUUUUGCCAAGAACACCCAGAAAUAGGUACAGGGAAAAAUUACCCCAAAAAGGCCUCAACAGAUGAAGGAGUUAUCGCAACAGCUGGCAGAUGAACUAAAUUCUUGUAGAGAACCAAUACGCUGCACAAUGGGAAGAGACGUUAAGCGUUUGGAAAAGCGAACUGCCCACUCGCGCAAGGCGUCUAAAAAUUAGUCAAAGGCUCACACUUGGAGGUCCAAGCUCCAAGCCGAUGACCGUAUUUGAAGAAAAGGCUUUAUCUACAUUUGGUUCGGCUGCUGUGGAUGUUAUAAAAGAUGUCCAAUUGAGAUUUUGAUCGUUGAAUGCGCAAAAUCAACACUUUCAUCACCCACGGAUAGUGCUCUGCAAUUAUGCAGUCCCGCAGAAACAACUCCAAAUCCCGAACAAACAGUCCAUCGACACCAUACCCAUUAAUUAGCUUGGAAAACUAGGGUGCUUCAACUUCAACAUCAGCACUUUGAUAGCUGAUAUAUCCAAAAGGAAUGCUGCUAAAGAGGAGAGGCGACGGGACCAUCUUGAAAUCAUGCAUGCCAUUCUAGGCGUAACUAAUUCCAUAACGGAAUUAUUAAAUAUUAUAAUAAUAAUCUAAAAUAAUUUCUAAAGUUUGAUUAAAAUAAUAAUAACUUAUGUCUAAUACUUUUAAAUUAAUAUUUAUUAAAUUUAAGAAGUUUGGUUUUUUUUUUGUUUUAGAAUAA